GACGAACGCUGGCGGCGUGCUUAACACAUGCAAGUCGAACGGAAAGGCCCUGCUUUUGUGGGGUGCUCGAGUGGCGAACGGGUGAGUAACACGUGAGUAACCUGCCCUUGACUUUGGGAUAACUUCAGGAAACUGGGGCUAAUACCGGAUAGGAGCUCCUGCUGCAUGGUGGGGGUUGGAAAGUUUCGGCGGUUGGGGAUGGACUCGCGGCUUAUCAGCUUGUUGGUGGGGUAGUGGCUUACCAAGGCUUUGACGGGUAGCCGGCCUGAGAGGGUGACCGGGGACAUUGGGACUGAGAUACGGACCAGAAGAGUACGGGAGGCAGCAGUGGGGAAUAUUGCACAAUGGGCGGAAGCCUGAUGCAGAAAAGCCGCGUGCGGGAUGACGGCCUUCGGGUUGUAAACAGAUUUCGCCUGUGACGAAGCGUGGGUGACGGUAAUGGGUAAAGAAGCACCGGCUAACUACGUG
rnacentral:rRNA from 1 species